rnacentral:antisense_RNA from 1 species
CAGCCAUUAACCUGUCCAUCUUCAGAACCUGAAUCGGUAGCCAAAUCUCAGCAGACAGAGCUACAUAAUGCCAGAUAAAUCUUCUUGCUGAAUGAGAGACCCAUCCUACCAGCAUAAACAACAUUUGAACACUCUAGCCCCCAGCCUUACCAGCCAGCUCUCCAUUCUCUACACACAGAGUCUUUGUUGGGACACUCUAGGCCAGUUAUUUCACCAUCCUGAGUCUGGUCCCUCUCUGAGGCCCAGGGACAAAUAUUCAGUUCAGGUUUGAAUUAAGGAAAGAUACUACUACCUUGAUGGGGGAUCAGGACCACAGGACCAAAUUGAACCAGGCAAGACUGAAGGGGCCAAGGGAUAGAGGAUCCCCCUCCCAAAGGAGCCAACUGGAAGGCAACAAUUGGGUGGCCUGUUAAAGAGGAAAGAAGCUUAGGACAGGGAGAAUGCCACUUUCUAGUAUUACAAAAAUAUCCUUUAGGCAAGGAAGUAAAUUCUGCACUUGGAGGAAGAGGGGUGGGCAAGAAGUGUCCACAUUCACAGGUAUUUGUUCUCAAGAAGUGAGGCACCUGUGAUUCUCAAAAUAGUAGAGUCGAAAGGAAAAAAAAAAGGGAGGUGGAAGGGGAGAAAAAGAAACAAAAAACUACCUUUUGGGCAAAAGGAACGGAAUGGCCAAGGCUACAUUAUAUACAAGCCAAAAGAACAAUUUCCAUUGACCUUGAGGAAUGUGUAAGGGCAAAGUCAUAAGCCAAGUUUAAUUGAUAAUUUCACUGUCCAUAUGUGCAGAAAGAGCAAUGAACCACAAGACUUGGGCUCAAGGCCCAGCUCUGCCUCUAACAUGCUGCAGGACCUAGGAUCAGUCCUUUCCUGUCUCCAGGACUCAAUUUUCUUGCUAUACAAUGAAGGGAUUGUACGGAGUGAUUUACAUGGACUAGCAGCUCUAAGGUUUGUAAGACUGUAUUAUAAACUUUGAAGAGAAUGAGGGAAGGGUCCAAGGAUUCUCCUUUGCAGCUUUCCUAGAAAACCAUGUAUCUUCCCCAUGAAAGGAAGAAUACAAAUAAUGAUGGUCAAAUUUAUUGAAUGCCUAUUAUGUGCCACAUACUAAUGUCCAUAGUUAAGAGUCAAACUAAGACCCAAAGCCAAAAGAAAGUAUUGUACCCAAGGCCACAUAACUAGUAAGUGACGUAACUGAGACUUCAGAUAUCAAACUAACUCCAAGCCUGUGCUGAACACCGUUCUCUUCAUCUACCCAGCCACUUUUUGUUGUUAUUGUACCUUUGUUUGUUUAUUCUUCCAUUCACUCAUGCUACCAAUGUUCCCUAAGUACUUUCUCUGUGCACGAAACUGUGUAAACACCAGUAAGCAUGAGAAAAGAUCUAUCAGGAAGUUCACAGUUGAGCAAAAGAAACAAGAAACCGUGAUCAGGAGGUUUAGAAAAGUUAUCUUUCUUUCCAAAGCACCAUUCUGAUUAUGUUUAUGAUCCUCAAAAGGCUUCAAAGGUUCCCCUUUUCCUACAGGAUAAAGUCCAAGUAGCUUAGCCUGUUUUCUAAUCCCUCUGAGAUCUGGUCCCUGUCUUGUCUCCUCUCGACAUCAUUCAUUCAACAUUUGUUAAGUGCUGACUAUGUGCCAGACACUGUACCAGAGUCUUGGAAUGCAAUGCUGAGUGGCACAGACUUAGGCCCUGCUCUCCUGGAGCCUGCAGAUAUUAAUCAAAUUAUCACACUGAUACAGAAUUAGGCAAUCCUUUAAACUUUCAGUGGUCCAGCCCCACUUGAUUCAGGAUCCUUCCUUCCAGCAGAGGUUCCCAGCCCAGGAAGUACAUAGUCAUGCAGUUCUCCUUGGACUCUUUAGAUAACCAGUUGAUCUUUAAUAAAGUGAUUUGUCUAAUUAAUCAACCAGGAACAUCUGCUUCUGAAGAGAGAACUUUUUUUGGAUCCCAUGAAUAAAUGUUUGUUUUAUUUUAACAUAGUUUUUCAACAACAGGUUAAAAUUGCUGGCUACACACUACUAUGGAAUGCCACGAUUUCCCUCCAGAGGAGUCUCUGCUUAAAGUUAAUUGCUUAUUACUUAUGUUCCCAAUUUAAUCCUAAAUUUCAAGAAGGCAGAGUUUUUGCCUAUUCUUGCUCAUCAUCGAAUACCCAGCACUUUGCCCAGUGCCAGGCACGCUGUUCUGUACAUGUGCUGGUUAGGCAUCCUUAACUACAUAAAGCCUUAAUUCAAAAUGAGACUGUGGCAGACAUAGAUCCUUACCUUAAAAAAAAAAAAAAGUUUUCAGAAGGUGAAACAGAGCCUGAGAGGAAAAGCAACUUUCCAAAAGCCACAGAGAAAGAUGAUAGCUUAAUUGAAGUUGGAACCAAAGAGAACCAGACGUCCUGAACUCCUGCUAUACCACACCCACUCACACACCUUGAGUCUGAAAUGGCCAGGAGGACAGGUCCUCAAAGCAAAAAGGUACAUAACUCGAGGCAGACAGUCUCCCAUCCCAAGCUUCUGUUGUACAUGAAUUUACAUCAGAGAGUCACUGAGCCGACUCUUUUAGAUGUAGAAGAGACCAUCUUCAUGGGAGAAACUCUUGCCUGCCCCCAAACAAGACCUCUGACUGAGGAAUAUAUUCAAUCACUCCCUCUAACCCAAACUCCCCAAAACACUAUUUCCUAUUAUGUCUCCAUAACCAAAUUCAACCCACCCGAAUCUCAAGAUUAGAUCUGUGAGCUCACAAAGGCCUAAUCACCCAAUUAAGAGGAGGAAAAUCUGAUCCUUUCUAAACAAAGUGAAAUGUGAAGUAACCCAGUUGCUGAGAUUAAGUCUCACUCAGGAAGAAGCAAAGGAGCUAGGAGAGAAUGGGUGGGUCAUUCAUUAAACAGAAUUUUCCAGGAAAUUUGAGUGAUGUGUCUCUCCAGAUCUCAGUGUUCCAGGCCCCAGAACAAUGCUGGAGGCAAGGCCCUGGCUUUAGGAGGACCAUGGGGGUGAAGACAGCAUUACUCUCCUUGCCCGAAAUCCCUAGGUACUAUCUAGGGGCAUUCUGAUCUCUCACUGGACAAAUGGCCUGGUAUCAAUGAUGAACUUUAUACUCAGGCCCAAAAAAUUCCAAGAGAAAAGUACUUAGAAAGAUAAACUAUAGCCCACUACCAUCAUUUCAAUAGACUCAGAAAAUUCAACAUCCAUUUCAAAUGGAAACAAAACAAAGCUUUUGCAGCAAACUAGAAAUAGAAGAUACCUCCUUCCAUGUAAUAAAGGGCAUAUACCAUAAAAAAAUACAACUAGCAUUAUACUUAAUGGUGAAAGACUAAACAUCUAAAAUUAGAAAAAAGGCAAAGAUGUCUGUUCUUACCACUUCUGUUCAUAUAGUACUAAAAGUCCUAGCUACAGCAAUUAGACAAGUAAUAAAUAAAUAAAAGUCAUCCAAAUUGGAAAGGAAGAAGUAUAAUUGUCUCUGUUUGCAGAUGACAUCAUACAUAUAGAACACUUUAGGAAGAACUGAGUUUUCCAACACUGGAGGCAUGUUACCAGUGCAUGUUCAAGGGCAUACAAAAAUGUUAAAGAGAAAGCAAGACUAGAUGAUCUCUUAAGAUCCUUCCAACUCUGAUACAGAAGAGGUACUCCAAGACAAAGAAUGGAGUAUGCCAAAUAAACGGUAGAGAGAAUGAGUGAGUGCACUAUGUUGAGAAGGAAAAGACUUUGUGCUGAAAGGGUCAAGAAGCCUUUGUGGAAGAAGCAGCACUUGAGUAGUUUUGAUCUAGACUAUGGUCUAUAAGAACAAGCACUGUGCUGGGCAUAAGACUGACCUGGUUUUAUAUAUAUAUAAAAAUUAUCUGGUUCAGGAAUUGAAAGACAGUUUGGCAUACCGUUAAGGGCAAGGACUCAGAUAGACCUGGAUUCAAAUCCCAAUUCUGCCUUAGACAAGUGAUUUCUCCUGACAGAGCAUCAAUUUUCUCCUCUUCAAUAUGAGAAUAACAACUUCUAGCUUACAGAAUUGCUGGAAGAAUUUGUGAAAAUGUAUUUGAUGUUCCCAGUAGAGUGCCUGUCAUACAGAUGUGUGCAGUAUGUAAAUGGUAGUGAUUACUCUGAGAAGGUGUUUGGACUUUGGUUAAUUACUUACUGAUUUCUGGAAUGAGACCUUUAUGACUGAUACAAAAAUGGACACAUAAACCAAUGGAACAGAAUAGAGAACUCAGAAAUAAAACCAUACACCCAAGCCAUCUGGUCUUCUACAAAGUUGACAAAAGUAAGAAAUGAAGAAAGGACUCCUUAUUCAGUAAAUGGUGCUGGGAUAGCUGGCUAGCCACAUGCAGAAGAAUAAAACUGGGCCCUUACCUUUCACCAUAUACAAAAAUUAACUCAAGAUGGAUUAAAGAUUUAAAUUUAAGUCCUCCAACUAUAAGAAUCCUAGAAGAAAACCUAUAAAACACCAUUCUCAAUGUCAGCCUUGGGAAAGAAUUUAUGAUUAAGUCUUCAAAUGCAGCUGCAACAAAAACAAAAAUUGACAGUGGGAUCUAAUUAAAGAGCUUUUGCACAGCAAAAGAAAUUAUCAAUAAACAGACAACCUACAGAAUGAAAGAAAAUAUUCAAACUAUGCAUCCAACAGAAGUCUAAUAUUCAGACUCUGUAAGAAACUUAAUAAGCAAAAAACAAAUAACUCCAAUAAAAAAAAUGGGCAAAAGACAUGAACAGACACUUCUGAAAAGAAGACACUCAAGCAGCCAAUAAACAUGAAAAACUGCUCCACAUUACUAGUCAUCAGAGAAACAGAAAUCAAAACCACAAUUGCGUGCUAUCUCACACUAGUCAGAAUGGUUAUUAUCAAAAAGUCAAAAAACAACAGAUGCUGAUGAGGCUGUACAGAAAGGGGAACACUUAUUCACUGUUGGUGAGAAUGUAAAUUGGUUAAGCCACUGUGGAAAGUAGUUUGGAGAUUUCUCAAAGAACUUAGAAUUAUCAUUCAACCCAGCAAUCCCAUUACUGGGUAUAUAUCCAAAAGAAAAUAAAUCCUUCUACAAAAAA